rnacentral:rRNA from 1 species
AGGGUUCGAUUAUGGCUCAGAACGUACGCUGGCGGCACGCCUAACACAUGCAAGUCGAACGAAGUAGCAAUACUUAGUGGCAGACGGGUGAGUAACAUGUAGGUAUCUGCCCUUUGGCCUGGAAUAACACGAGGAGACUUGUGCUAAUACCGGAUAAGUCUUUACGGAGAAAGCUUUAUGCACCAUUGGAUGAGCCUGCACUUGAUUAGUUUGUUGGUGGGGUAAUGGCCUACCAAGACUGUGAUCAAUAGCUGAUUUGAGAGGAUGAUCAGCCACAUUGGGACUGAGACACGGCCCAAACUCCUACGGGAGGCAGCAGUGGGGAAUCUUGCACAAUGGAGGAAACUCUGAUGCAGCGAUGCCGCGUGAGUGAAGAAGGCCUUUGGGUUGUAAAGCUCUUUCGUCGGGGAAGAAAAUGACUGUACCCGAAUAAGAAGGUCCGGCUAACUUCGUGCCAGCCGCCGCGGUAAUACA